UGCCAGCAGCCGCGGUACUACGUAGGGUGCAAGCGUUAUCCGGAAUCAUUGGGUUUAAAGGGUCCGUAGGCGGACAAUUAAGUCAGAGGUGAAAGUCUGUAGCUCAACUAUAGAAUUGCCUUUGAUACUGGUUGUCUUGAAUUACUGUGAAGUGGUUAGAAUAAGUAGUGUAGCGGUGAAAUGCAUAGAUAUUACUUAGAAUACCAAUUGCGAAGGCAGAUCACUAACAGUAUAUUGACGCUGAGGGACGAAAGCGUGGGGAGCGAACAGGAUUAGAUA
rnacentral:rRNA from 1 species